rnacentral:rRNA from 1 species
AUUGAACGCUGGCGGCAUGCCUAACACAUGCAAGUCGAGCGGAUGAAGGGAGCUUUCUCCUUGAUUCAGCGGCGGACGGGUGAGUAAUGCCUAGGAAUCUGCCUGGUAGUGGGGGAUAACGUCCGGAAACGGGCGCUAAUACCGCAUACGUCCUGAGGGGGAAAGUGGGGGAUCUUCGGACCUCACGCUAUCAGAUGAGCCUAGGCCGGAUUAGCUAGUUGGUGGGGUAAAGGCCUACCAAGGCGACGAUCCGUAACUGGUCUGAGAGGAUGAUCAGUCACACUGGAACUGAGACACGGUCCAGACUCCUACGGGAGGCAGCAGUGGGGAAUAUUGGACAAUGGGCGAAAGCCUGAUCCAGCCAUGCCGCGUGUGUGAAGAAGGUCUUCGGAUUGUAAAGCACUUUAAGUUGGGAGGAAGGGCAGUAAGUUAAUACCUUGCUGUUUUGACGUUACCAACAGAAUAAGCACCGGCUAACUUCGUG